GGCAAUAACAAAGAUCUGGCAUUUCCCACUGCCAGGCAGCACCAGCUCUGUCCAAGUGCUCCUUCCUGCAGGGCUGCAAUCUCUUCAGCAGCGCAGAGGAGGAAAAUCUGACUGCUCUGUAAGGAUUCAUGAUCCCUCACCUCGAGGUGUGCGGGUGAUGUCAGCCGGCUGGCUCCUCUCUCCCUGCAGCAGCAUCCCUAACGACUGCCUUCGAUGCCUGAAAAGUCAUAAUCCCCACAGCAGAGACUUUAACAGCCAAACUCCCAGAACUGACACCAGCUUGAGAGGGGGAAACACCUGCAGUCACC